AGAUGAAAAAGGACAAGCACAGAGGGGAGAUGGUUCUUCUUCAUGGAUUUAAUUAGACUUCUUAGAACGUACCAGAAGAUUUGGUGAUAUAUAAAGAAGACAGCAGAAGUCAGAAGAAGUGGGAGAGAGUUUUCAUUUAAUAAAAAAGGGAAAAAGGGAAAAAGGGGAAAAAACAAGUAAUAGCGAGAGAGAGAGAGAGAGAGAGAGAGAGAGAGAGAGAGGGUCGUCUCUGAUUUGCUGGACCCUGGCAUCCAAGGCCUAAGAGCGUCUAAGAGCUUAAAAUAGAGCAGAAGAGUGGAGAUUAGGGAUCUCUGCUUGGUGGUUAAUCAUCUGGAAUUAGCAUAAAUGGAUCCAAUAGCGGAAGAGCAAUUAGAUUAUGGAGAUGAAGAAUAUGGUGGAGGUCAGAAGAUGCAGUAUCAAGGCGGUGGAGCAAUUUCUGCCCUCGCAGAAGAGGAGCUGAUGGGAGAGGAUGAUGAGUACGAUGAUCUCUACAAUGAUGUCAACGUUGGUGACGGAUUUCUGCAGCUGCACCGUACCGAAACACCCAUCUUAGGAGGUGCAGGGAGCGGACCACAAGCUCAAAAACCUGACGCUUUCAGAUCAAGGGUCGUUGAACAGGGUGCGUCGGAAGACAUAGCUAUCCCGGGAGUUGGGUUGGAAGGGAAGGACUCCAAUAUGGGAGCCAGUUUUCCGGAGCAGAAUAAGGGAGCAUUUAUGUCUGUCAAAGGUUUGGAAGGGGCAGCUGGUAAUUACCCAGACGGGAUUUCACAGAAAGAGAGGGUUAUGGAUAUGGGUUCUGAUGUUCAAGUUGGAAGCUCAGGGAUUGGAGGAUCGGCACCUGUGGCUGCUAAAGUUGGUGUUGAUCCUAGUCAGAUACCGGUUAAAUUUUCUGGUGGAUCUUUGUCAUUGCCAGAUUCAAGCACUGGCGCUCCAAGAAGUGCUCCACAAAUGCCUGUCAAUCGAACGGGAAUGAAUAUCAGUAUGAACCGUCCUGUGGUGAAUGAAAAUCCAGGCCGGCAGCCUGUAGAUAAUGGUGGCACCAUGCUCUUUGUGAGUGAACUGCAUUGGUGGACUACCGAUGCCGAGCUUGAAAGUGUGCUAUCUCAAUUUGGGAGGGUAAAGGAAAUCAAAUUCUUUGAUGAGAGAGCUAGUGGAAAAUCAAAGGGCUACUGUCAGGUGGAAUUCUUUGAUCCUGCUGCUACAACUGCAUGUAAAGAAGGGAUGAAUGGCCAUGUUUUCAAUGGUCGAGCUUGUGUGGUGAAUUUUGCAACUCCACAGACUUUGAAGCAGAUAGGAGCUGCGUAUAUGAACAAAAACCAAGCACAGGCUCAGUCACAGCCGCAAGUACGAAGACCUAUGAAUGAUGGGGUAGGAAGAGGCGGUGGAAUGAAUUAUCCAGCUGGAGAAACAGGCAGGAACUUUGGGAAGGUUGGAUGGGGUCGAGGAGGUCAAGGACUACUCAAUAGGGGUCCUGGUGGUGGACCAAUGAGAGGUAGAGGAUCUGUUGGGCCGAAAAACAUGAUGGGAGGCACUGUAGGUGUUGGAAGCAGUGGUAGUGGGGGCCCUUAUGGGCAAGGCCUUGCAGGUCCUGCCCUGGGGGGCCCAGCUGGUGGGAUGAUGCAUCCUCAGAGUAUGAUGGGUGCAGGAUUUGAUCCAACGUACAUGGGUCGAGGAGGUGCUUAUGGGGGAUUCUCAGGUCAUGCUUUUCCUGGGAUGAUUCCUUCUUUUCCAGCUGUUAAUACAAUGGCACUUCCUGGUGUGGCUCCACAUGUCAACCCAGCUUUCUUCGUCCGUGGAAUGUCUGCUAAUGGAAUGGGAAUGAUGGGUACUAGUGGAAUGGAUGGUCAGCACGUAGGAAUGUGGACUGAUGCAAACAUGGGUGGAUGGGGAGGGGAUGAUCAUGGGAGAAGGACAAGGGAGUCAAGUUAUGGUGGUGAAAAUGGGGCAUCUGACUAUGGAUAUGGAGAGGCAAGCCAGGAGAGGGGAGGGGGGAGAUCAAGUGCUGCCUCCCGGGAGAAGGAUAGGGGUUCUGAGCGUGAUUGGUCAGGAAACACUGAGAGGAGGCAUCGUGAAGAGAGGGACCAGGACUGGGAUAGGUCUGAUAGGGAGCACCGGUACAAAGAAGAAAAAGAUGGUUACAGGGACAAUCGUCAGAGAGAGCGUGACUAUCACAAUGAGGAUGACUGGGAUAGGGGGCAAACUUCUUCUAGGUCUAGGAGCAAGCCCCGUAUGAUGCAAGAAGAUAGCAGGUCUCGAACAAGAGAUGCUGACUAUGGGAAGAGACGGCGGCUACCGUCGGAGUGACAAUAUUUGGCUCUUUAACAACCUUUCUUUGUGGAAGUAACUUAAAAGGUCUUAUGCAGUCCUUGGUUUCAUAUUCUGAGUGUUACUCUUCGUUGAUGACUAACACUACAUCCGUCUUUGCUCACUCUGGUUUUUGCUGACACACAUGCAGAAGUGUGGUUUCUGGAUGGAAAAAGGAGUGGAGCAGGCAUUUCUUUAUUUGUGGUAAAGUCUGCCUAUGUUGGUUACCUAGAAGACAAUUUUGGAUUUGGUGUCUUCACUGGAUUACUGAGAUGUUGGUGAUGGCCUCCGCCAAGCAUAGGAACGAAAAACUCUUAGUGAUGUUGGCAUUCUAAUUUUCAUUCAUGCUAUCACCAAUGACUAUCAUAAGCUGUUGUAACUCUAUGCAGUGCUCCCUGCAAGAACAAGUCUUUAAAGAGUCAAAACAUCAUGAAGCUAUAAGUGUCUGAGGGGAUAUCUGAGUUAAAUGUUGGACCCACCAACCAUGUCCAUAAGUGCAAAAUGAAAUUGCAUUUUUUAUGUAGAUCUGUGCAUUAGGUUCAGAGCAUGUAACUGGUCUUUUGCUUUGUUUCUGUGUUUCUUUCUGCUUUAUCAGUGAGCUUGUAAGUCUUGUACAGCUUAUUGUUGGUCAGAUUUAGCUUGUAUUUAAUCAUGCUCCCUCUAUACCUUCACGAGAAUCAGGGUUGAGCUUUGUAUAUUGUAAUGUGGGAGUUUUCCUUUCAUUUGUAAUUAGUGAUAAUGACUAAUGAUAUUCGAAGAAUCCCGUCUGCCGUUGUGGCAAGUUACUUCAUUGUAAGCAUUAAGUUUUUUCAGAUGUAUUCUUUUGGUUAAAUGUAAGGGGUACUUGUAUUUGGGAGUACACAUGGUUGUUGCCACAUUGUGUAGGGGCUGGGAAGAGUUUGAGUUGUGUACCGGAGGCUGCUUCUGUGGGUUGCCCCCCCCCCCCUCUCUUUUUUAGUUUCUGAUGGGACUCCACUGUACGAGAUCACCUUUCGUGGGUAGAAAGGUCUUUUCAACUUAUUCGAUUCUUUAUGUAAUGUAAAUUAGAAUAUUAGACAA